rnacentral:lncRNA from 1 species
UUUAGAGAGUCCCGUACGAAAUUCAGUGUUAACAUCCGGGGACCCAAGAAAGAGCAAUCGAUCCUAGAUCGCGGUCAAACGAGUGGGCGCGUCGUUGGAUGCCUGACUCUCUCACGCGGGAAGGCGAAACUGAUUUAGCCAUGUCCAACGGCGACAGCAGCAGUAACAUUGCUUCGGAUGAGUUGGAUGACACUGCACAGGUCUGGAACACACACACCAUCAGGCCAUCGAAAAACCUUAACGUCCCCAGCGGUCGGCCGAACGUGAUGUUUGCAUUACCUGAACUCUAUGGGACAAGAGACUUCCUUUCCCCAAUUGAAGAUGGUGAUUUUCAACUGUGCAAAAAUGAAUGUAUCUUUCGCCAGACCAAACCGUUUGAUCCAGAUCUAUAUGAACUAUGCAACAUCUUUAUGGCUGAUUCCAAUCUCACUCUAGCAACAGAUCCAUAUCAGGCAGUGAAUUUGUACAUGCACCUCAGAGAGGCCAUCAGGGCAUGUGUGUAGGUCAGACGUAUUUAGUUGUGUCUUGUGUUGAGCUUCGAAGUGGCAGGAUUUUUUGGUCACAUAAGUAAUCCACCUUGCUGUCCUUUUCCUUUUAUAAGUUUCCUUUAAAGUCAUAGCUCAACAUCUCUAGCUUUUGGCAAAUGUUACAUUCCUACGAUAGUUUAGAAACACAGAAAUGAGGGGGGGCUUUAUAGACAAAGCCUGUAAAAAGUAAAUCAAAUGUGUAUCAAUUUCAGAACUUUACUUUAACAAAUGUAUCACUUUUUUCAGUUAGAAUUGUAUUUAACAAAAAAGGUAACUGGCUUCAGUAACUAAAUGUGAAUACUUAUUCUGAGUUUUUCUAGAUAGAAUAUCAUUGGAUUUCAAAUGAUGGGACCAAAAAAAUGGAUGUAUCUAUCUAUCGAACUCUGAACAUCUGAUUGCCAAUCAGUACAAACAUUGACGUGUUACCGACAGAAAAGCAUUUUGAAAAUAUCUGUUCAUUUACAACCUGUAGUUUCAAAUACUGAGAGAGGGGUUAAAAAACGACAACACACGCUAUUCAUGUUUUUGUUGAGACUGGAACAUUUUUUAUUACUGUAACUAUAUUGCUAUCCCGUAUGUGGAACUCUGAAUAAACAAAAAAUCGCCCAACA